AGCAGCCGCGGUAAUUCCAGCUCCAAUAGCGUAUAUUAAAGUUGUUGCAGUUAAAAAGCUCGUAGUUGAAUUUCGGGAUCAGUUCGCUGGUCGUGCCUCUGGUAUGUACUGGUGUUACUGGUUCCUCCCUUCUGACGAACUGUCAUGUCAUUUAUUUGGUGUGGCAGGGAAUCAGGACUGUUACUUUGAAAAAAUUAGAGUGUUUAAAGCAGGCUCGCGCUUGAAUACAUUAGCAUGGAAUAAUGAAAUAGGACGUUCGAUCCUAUUUUGUUGGUUUCUAGGAUUGACGUAAUGAUUAAUAGGGAUAGUUGGGGGCAUUAGUAUUCAAUUGUCAGAGGUGAAAUUCUUGGAUUUAUUGAAGACUAACUACUGCGAAAGCAUUUGCCAAGGAUGUUUUCAUUAAUCAAGAACGAAAGUUAGGGGAUCGAAGACGAUCAGAUACUGUCGUAGUCUUAACCAUAAACUAUGCCGACUAGGGAUCGGAUGAUGUUAUUUUUUAAUGACUC
rnacentral:rRNA from 1 species